rnacentral:rRNA from 1 species
GAGUUUGAUCCUGGCUCAGGACAAACGCUGGCGGGGUGCAUGAGACAUGCAAGUCGAACGGGGUUGAGCGGGCUUGCUCGAUCAACCUAGUGGCGGACGGCUGAGUAACGCGUAGGUGACCUGUCCGGAAGUGGGGAAUAACUGCCCGAAAGGGUGGCUAAUACCGCAUGUGGUCGGCGAUUCGGUUCGCCGUGCAAAGCCGCAAGGCGCUUCCGGAGGGGCCUGCGUCCGAUUAGCUAGUUGGUGGGGUAACGGCUCACCAAAGGCGACGAUCGGUAGCUGGUCUGAGAGGAUGAUCAGCCAGACUGGGACUGAGAACGGCCCAGACUCCUACGGGAGGCAGCAGUCGGGAAUUUGCCCAAUGGACGAAAAGUCUGAGGCAGCAACUCCGCGUGAGGGACG